rnacentral:rRNA from 1 species
UACGUAGGGGGCAAGCGUUGUCCGGAUUUAUUGGGCGUAAAGAGCGUGUAGGCGGUUAGGUAGGUCCGUUGUGAAAACUCGAGGCUCAACCUCGAGACGCCGAUGGAAACCAUCUAACUAGAGUCCGGAAGAGGAGAAUGGAAUUCCUGGUGUAGCGGUGAAAUGCGCAGAUAUCAGGAAGAACACCCGUGGCGAAGGCGGUUCUCUAGUACGGUACUGACGCUGAGACGCGAAAGCGUGGGGAGCGAACAGG